UACGGGGGGGGCAAGCGUUGUUCGGAAUUACUGGGCGUAAAGGGCUCGUAGGCGGCCAACUAAGUCAGGGGUGAAAUCCUGGAGCUCAACUCCAGAACUGCCUUUGAUACUGAAGAUCUUGAGUUCGGGAGAGGUGAGUGGAACUGCGAGUGUAGAGGUGAAAUUCGUAGAUAUUCGCAAGAACACCAGUGGCGAAGGCGGCUCACUGGCCCGAUACUGACGCUGAGGCACGAAAGCGUGGGGAGCAAACAGG
rnacentral:rRNA from 1 species